CUACGUAGCUCAGAGUUGAUCCUGGCUCAGGGUGAACGCUGGCGGCGUGCCUAACACAUGCAAGUCGAACGAAGCACUGUUAACGGAGAUUCGUCGAAGUUAACUUUGACUUAGUGGCGGACGGGUGAGUAAUGUAUGAGCAACCUGCCUUUCAGAGGGGGACAACAGUUGGAAACGACUGCUAAUACCGCAUAAUGUACCGUGAGGGCAUCCUCGUGGUACCAAAGGAGCAAUCCGCUGAAAGAUGGGCUCAUAUCUGAUUAGCUAGUUGGUGAGGUAACGGCUCACCAAGGCUGCGAUCAGUAGCCGGACUGAGAGGUUGAACGGCCACAUUGGGACUGAGAUACGGCCCAG
rnacentral:rRNA from 1 species